ensembl:snoRNA
UGUUGACCUGCCUCUGUCCUCUGUCUGUCCAGGGCUCCCGGGAGCCAGGGGAGACGCUACCUCGGAAGCUGAAGCG